rnacentral:lncRNA from 1 species
ACAUUUUCAGGCACAGAAGAUGAAUCAUCAUCAUCAACAAUAUCAAUUUCCUCACUCUCAAGAGGAGAUUUCUCCACCUCAAUUGGAGCAGAGGGGGGAACAAUAAAUGAAGGCACAGGCAAACAAGGAUAUUCAUUUUCAUUGAAAACAACAUUUCUACUAAUGAUAGUUUUAAAACCAUGUUCAUUCUUUAGCCAACAUCUAUAACCUUUUACCCCUUCAGGAUAUCCAAUAAAAACACAUUUUAAGGAUCUAGGUUCUAAUUUAUCAGUUUUAUG